ensembl:snoRNA SNORA79B small nucleolar RNA, H/ACA box 79B
UGAUGGCUGUUCCUCUCACUGCUUAGAGCUUAGGUAGUGAGAUUUUAGUCCAUCAUAUAUCCAAGCUGACUUGUUUUCACUCAGGGCACCAUGGGGAUGGGUUGGCCGUCCGUUAGUGUCUUCUGAUUUUUGCGGAGUCAAACAAUU